rnacentral:rRNA from 1 species
GACGAACGCUGGCGGCGUGCUUAACACAUGCAAGUCGAACGGAAAGGCCCUGCUUUUGUUGGGUGCUCGAGUGGCGAACGGGUGAGUAACACGUGAGUAACCUGCCCUUGACUUUGGGAUAACUUCAGGAAACUGGGGCUAAUACCGGAUAGGAGCUCCUGCUGCAUGGUGGGGGUUGGAAAGUUUCGGCGGUUGGGGAUGGACUCGCGGCUUAUCAGCUUGUUGGUGGGGUAGUGGCUUACCAAGGCUUUGAUGGGUAGCCGGCCUGAGAGGGUGACCGGCAACAAUGGGACUGAGAAACGGCCCAGAAGCCUACGGGAGGCAGCAGUGGGGAAUAUUGAACAAUGGGCGGAAGCCUGAUGCAGCAACGCCGCGUGCGGGAUGACGGCCUUCGGGUUGUAAACCGCUUUCGCUCAUGACGAAGCUUUGUGUGACGGUAGUGGGUAAAGAAGCACCGGCUAACUACGUG